rnacentral:rRNA from 1 species
CGCGAAUCGCCCUUCGGGGUGCAGCAGGCGCGAAAACUUUACAAUGCGGGAAACCGUGAUAAGGGGACACCGAGUGCCAGCAUUAUAUGCUGGCUGUCCGGGUGUGUAAAAUACACCCGUUAGCAAGGGCCGGGCAAGACCGGUGCCAGCCGCCGCGGUAACACCGGCGGCCCGAGUGGUGAUCGUGAUUAUUGGGUCUAAAGGGUCCGUAGCCGGUUUGGUCAGUCCUCCGGGAAAUCUGACGGCUCAACCGUUAGGCUUUCGGGGGAUACUGCCAGGCUUGGAACCGGGAGAGGUAAGAGGUACUACAGGGGUAGGAGUGAAAUCUUGUAAUCCCUGUGAGACCACCUGUGGCGAAGGCGUCUUACCAGAACGGGUUCGACGGUGAGGGACGAAAGCUGGGGGCACGAACCGGAUUAGAUACCCGGGUAGUCCCAGCUGUAAACGAUGCUCGCUAGGUGUCAGGCAUGGCGCGACCGUGUCUGGUGCCGCAGGGAAGCCGUGAAGCGAGCCACCUGGGAAGUACGGCCGCAAGGCUGAAACUUAAAGGAAUUGGCGGGGGAGCAC